CAGCAGCCGCGGUAAUACAGAGGGUGCGAGCGUUAAUCGGAUUUACUGGGCGUAAAGCGUGCGUAGGCGGCUAAUUGAGUCGGAUGUGAAAUCCCCGAGCUUAACUUGGGAAUUGCAUUCGAUACUGGUUAGCUAGAGUGUGGGAGAGGAUGGUAGAAUUCCAGGUGUAGCGGUGAAAUGAGUAGAGAUCUGGAGGAAUACCGAUGGCGAAGGCAGCCAUCUGGCCUAACACUGACGCUGAGGUACGAAAGCAUGGGGAGCAAACAGGAUUAGAUACCCCGGUAGUCCCUGUCUCUUAUAC
rnacentral:rRNA from 1 species